GGCGGCGUGUUUAAGACAUGCAAGUCGAACGGAUUGAAGUUGUAGCAAUACCGCUUCAAUCAGUGGCGCACGGGUGCGUAACACGUGAGUUACAUGCCCUAUAGUCGUGAAUAGCCCUCCCAAAGGGGGAUUAAUACACGAUGGUCCCGCAAGGGUAAAGGUGGCUUCGGCUGCCGCUAUAGGAUUGGCUCGCGGCCUAUCAGCUAGUUGGCGAGGUAACGGCUCACCAAGGCGACGACGGGUACCUGGUCUGAGAGGACGAUCAGGCACACUGGAACUGAGACACGGUCCAGACACCUACGGGUGGCAGCAGUCGAGAAUAAUUCACAAUGGGGGAAACCCUGAUGGUGCAACGCCGCGUGGAGGAUGAAGGUCUUCGGAUUGUAAACUCCUGUCAUCUGGGAGUAAGGCGUGGCGAUGAAUAGUCGACACGAUUGAUAGUACCANAAGAGGAAGGGACGGCUAACUUCGUGCCA
rnacentral:rRNA from 1 species